rnacentral:ncRNA from 1 species
GGGGAUAUGGCGGAAUCGGUAGACGCUACGGACUUAAAUUUUUUGAGCCUUGGUAUAGAAACUUACCAAGUGAUAGCAUCCAAAUCCAGGGAACCCUGGGAUAUUUUGAAUGGGCAAUCCUGAGCCAAAUCCGAUUUCUAGAGACAAUAGUUUCCUUUCCGAGAACGGGAUAGGUGCAGAGACUCAACGGAAGCUAUUCUAACGAAUCAACAUAAUUUGGAUUGGAUACAAUCCAUUUUUGGAAGUAAUUAAUUGUACGAGGAUAAAGAUAGAGCCCAAUUCUACAUGUCAAUGUCAACAACAAUGAAAAUUGGAGUAGGAGGAAAAUCCGUUGGUUUUAUAGAUCGUGAGGGUUCGAGUCCCUCUAUCCCCA